AAAAUAGUAGUUUAUCAUAACAAAGCUCAGGAAUUGAUUCAAGUACAACUGUAUACAUGAAUUGGUACCAUUAACUAAUCCCCUCUUGUUCCUCAAGCUUUACAGCAAAUCAUAUGAUAAUGUAGAGCCUUAUAACUGGUACUGGCAGCUUCCAUCAUCACUUCUGGCCGUCGGAUCGUAGUUGUUCGCAGAUGGGUCAGUGCAACCCUCUUGAACAGGAAUGUGCACUUGCUGGGCUGCUUGGCCGUAGAAGUUUCCGGUCUUGAUGGCAUCCUGGUUAGCUUCUCCAAGCGCGGCCUCACUUAAGUACUUGUCAGCCAAUUGCACCCUCUUCACAUUAUCCUGCUCCUGCACAAGCAUGUUACCGUACUCCAAUAGCUUCUCUAUAGUCAUCUUGGGCUGCUCGAACUUUGGUGGACCCUCGCGCGAGUUCACAAGCCUCUUUCCGAUUUUCUCAACCCCGAUCUCGGAAAUCCACUUCCUGACUUCGUCGUCGUAGACCCUUGCUCUGAGGGCACCAAAGAAAUCAAUUGACUGUCCUGGGAAGGUGUCAACAAGCUUGAUAACAUCUUGUUCGGCAAUAUUGUCGGUCCUGAAAAUACCUAGGCAAACCCCAAUGCGGUCCUCCCUGGUUGGCGCCCAGUAGAAUUUCUCCAUACG
rnacentral:misc_RNA from 1 species